GUGCGUGAAUUUCCUUGUUGAGUGUAGUUUUUUCAUGUAUGGUUUUCUUUGCCUUUUCGAUUCGGACUAACAAUCUGGUGCUAGAUUGUUUGCUUUUCCUUGUUGAAUAGAAGUACUUCAGAAGUUGUGCUAAUGUUAUCAUACCCAGUACAGGGUUAUGUUAUCAGUUUGAACCAGUCAUUAUGUGAGUAUAGCCUGUCUCAACUUGUACAACCUAGUCCCACAGUCCUUAAAAAGUAAUAUUUUAAAUAGCGGGUUAAGGGGUUUAGCGAUUGGACUCUAAAACAGCCGAGAGCUGAAUGAGGCUAUAACGCUACACAGUACAUGACCUCAAAUAGCUAUGCCCUGCCUCAAAAGGCUAUAGUGGGCUAUAGCUGCACUAUAGCUAGAGUUUUAAAAAAAAACAAAUUGUUCUAGAAAUUUUAGGACAACUAGAAGAGGUAAAAUAUCUUAUUUGCUUUUAUUUAUUAUUCAAUAUUUAGUAUUAAUUUACUAUUAUUGCACAUGUAGUAGGAUAGUGCCCGUGCGUUGCUCGAGCAUAAAAAUUGAUAUCGCUUUAAUAUAAGAUACAUAGUUUCCAACUAAAUUUGGGAGGAUCAUGGAUUAUUCAAAUAAAUUCAGAAAUAAUAGGAAAUAUACAUGUGAUUGAAACGGGCGAAGGGCCAACAACUGAGACUUUAUUUUAACCUUUUUAUUAAUAGUAAUAUUUCAAAAUAAAUCAAUUUGAAAAGGUAUUAAGUCAUUUGAUGAUUUGCUCGCACCCUUUUUAACCAUAUUGUUUGGAGCAAUAUGGUUUGGUGUUUCAGUACAGAUAGCAUACCAUCUGAAUUCAUAAAACCAUCUGUGUUAAGAUGUGUUGUGAAUCACUAUCAUACCCAUGAGAGACAAGGCUGGACAAGAAGAAAUUGAAUUCUCUGUGUUAACAUAGGUUGUGAAUCGAUAUCUACUCUCUGAAAUAGCACAUCUAUCUCCUUGAUAUAUACACCAAGUGAUGAAAUAACCAGAUUUUGACAAUCAUUUGAAUGAUGAAGUGAAAUAAACACGUUCAGAAUCUUCAUCUGAUGCGAUCAGUGCUCAAGGCUGAGGUGCUGCCACCCCACCAUCUGCCAUAGCUGUUGCAAACUUCGCUAAGUGCCAUCCUGCAAACAGAAACUUUUGAACAUGUUAACAAUUGUUUCUCAGACUACUGCACAUUUAAAAAAAAAAGUAUCCAAUGCUUUCAGGUUCGCUACAAACAAGUAGGAUUAACUUUUGAGCUUCUUAAUUUCGUUAGGUUAUUCGUGGCUAACAACUCAUUCUUGGACAACUAAAGAAAUUGCGCUGACAUUUCUGAAACCAUUACAUAUU
rnacentral:lncRNA from 1 species